GUGAGGGCCUGGGUUCCUUCACCGUCUCGUGUUCCAUGGCGAUGUCUGAAGCCGGCAUAAUCCUCUUUACCUGCUCCUCCCUCAGGCAAUAAGCAGGUUGCUUGGACCCAGAAGAAUAGCUACUUUCUGUGGCCACACUGUGAGGGAGGGCUUCCAGGUGGCUGGGGAAAUUAGUUGCUGUGACAACAAGCUGGCGGGGGUGUAGUUUGCUGCACUUUGCAGCUCUUGUCUUCUGCUCCAGGGCACUCAGCUGCCUGGGGGAACCUGGAAAUCCAGUAAUUCACACCUCAGGAGCAACAUCGGACAGACAGUGGUUUGGAGCAGAGUGAGUGACUCUUUUCCUGGCCCCGAGGAGCAGCUGAAGAGGAUGCAGUGACCAGUGGAAGGACACGCAGCGUGUCCUGUAUCGUGAGGUCAGCUCUUCCACACUCUCCUCAUUUGAUUCUGGCUCCAGCGGACACUGGGUCCUCACAGCAGGCAAGCAGUCACAUUCGAAUGAACGCUGAUUGUUCAAAGUUAACACGGCCCCCUUUGCAGGGGGAUGUUGUCUGAUGGGAGUUUUCUCUCCGUGAAGAUCCCUGCUGAGGUUUCAGGGGAGGAGGAAAGAAGUGAGACGAGAGGCACUGGGGGAGGUGGAGACGGUGAGCAGCUAUGAGCCCAGCGGCACCUCUGACGACUGCCAUCCCCUCCCCCGCCUGAGCUGGGGCUGCCGAGAGGAGACGGGACUCGGCUUUUGUUUUCAUUUCCAUUUAAUUUGCCCAAAUGAAAACUGCAAUUACAGAGCAAUUAUACGUCCCCAUGUGCUUCAGGGAUGCUGUCCCUGGCACAUUUCCUAUCCCUAUUUGGAGAAUUCACCCAUAAAAGCAUCAGAUUCGUCUGCAUUAUAUGUGGAAAUCUGCAGUUUCAUCCUUUGUGCAAGGGAUAAAAAUUCACCCUGGGGUAUCAAGUUUAAUAAGGCUUAAUUAGACCAAUUUGCAGUAAGCUGAGGUUUCCACUCUGCAUUUUGACAAGCAGCUCGAGCUGGUUCACUAGAUUUUUAUGUUUGGGAAUUUCUGUAUCUCAAACAAAAAGGUCAGAAGGAACAUAAAAUUCUACAAGACUCUAAGGCAUCCUGAAUUGCUGUUGUCAUUGGUAUGUGUACAUGUGUUUGUUGUGUCACGUCUUUGGAAUGUUCUCAUUGAUUAUGAAAGUGUGAUCUUGGGUAGCUGAGUAGUCUCUCCAUCAGGGGGAUUCAACAAAGUUGAUUUUACUGAGUUGCACUUUGAUGCCCUAUCUCUGGAGUUUCAUCCAGGUCCCUCAGAAGGAAAAGCCUUACAAAAUUCAUUCUUACGGCCAUAGGGAAAGGGCUGAGGCCUUUCUUCAUGAGGAGGAGGAUGUGGGUCAGGACACAAGAGAAGAGAAAAUUGUAUACUUUCUUUUUUCGUUGAAUUUUUGACAUUAGGAAUUCUAGAUACUUGACUGAAAACUGGAAGCAAUAUUCUACAACCAAAAGAGGUUUCAAAAGGCGUGUGGCAAACAGAGCCACUCCUCUCUGUUGAUCCACGAGGUACUGUUGACACUGCCUCUGCAGCGCUGGGGCAACAGAAUGCCCUUCAACCCUCUAGGGUAUGUUCCCUUCUUAGCGGAUACAGUGCCUUAAAUGCUCAUUUUACAAUGAGGCUCCUGGUCAAAGAUGCUAAGUACCAGAAGACUCAAGGUAGAAGCUGAAGAUGUGAUCCUUAAAACUGAUAAUGUAUAGACCUCAGAAUGGCCCUCAGGUAUCUCAGGUAUCUUUUUGACAAAGUGAUUCUUGAGGGAGUAGGAAUCAGGACAGCUACAUUUUUUUAAAAAAGUGCCUGGAAAGGACUGGAACAUAAGAUGCUGCCGGCAGAGCAGGCCAGUUUGGAAUGGGGUCGGGGGAGAGAUGGUAGAAAGCAGCAUAUGACAGCUCCAUUCGGGGAGAGGAAGACAGAAAUGAAAGGAAGGGAAAAAACUGAGCGAUGAUAGAAAGGGGUACGGAUAGAAAAGGCUGGCACAGAUUAAUAGCUGACAUGGCAGUUGGUUUUAAUUACUGGUGCAAAAUCGCAGGAAGCUCCAUUAUGAUCUGUUUCUCUAGUUGAAGAAUUACCUCUGGCUCUGCAUGCUAUAAUCCGAUUGUGGGGGUCUUGGGCUGUAAAUACUGAGGGUCUGUGGUCUGUAAUAGAAGCCUUUCCUCUUUCUGCCAGAAAAGGAGCAGGAGCUGAAAAAGCGAGGCCAGUCUUACAACUCACUGGACUUCUGGCAAGAAUCCCUCCCCUGAACCAACCCUAACUGCUGACCUGAGUUAUACACAUUCAAGAGAGAAGUAGAAGGUUUUCAUUACAAGUCAUCUAACUCUGCAGGAGUUUGGCUUUGAAAACCCCCUGAAAAGGACUCAUGUGAAUAAAGCGGGGCCAUUCUCAUUGAAG